CUCUGGCCUCCACCUUGAAACCGUUUCUCACGAUGGUUAUGCGCGAUCCACCCAACAGGAAUUUUGUUUUGCCAGGUUUGCGAAACCAAAGCACAGCGAUUCCUCCAACACGACGUAUCCAACGUGAAGAUUCCUCAGAGUGAAGUACACGGAUGUGACAUCUUUUCUGCUGAAGAUCUCGUAAACUUUCAUCGUCCGAUCUCUAGAACAUAAAACCGGUGAUAAUAAAUACCAAGGCAGAUGUAACGAUCCAGGGAAUGGCAAGCUUAUGCACCUCAUCUCUUUGCUCUCG